GGCCUGCAAUAUGACUGUAUCUUUCGCUGCUACCCUGUAAAAUUACGAAUCGCCCGACUUUAACCGUAAAAUGUACAAAUCAACAAGAUCAGCGCUGUAUUCGUCUUACACAGGUAGACUCUGACUCGAAUUCUGUAAAAAUGGAAGAUUUGUCAAGGGAUGCCGAGCUUGAAAACUACUUAGACGCUUUAAACGAUUUCGUGAAAAAGCCGUCGAAAAGUAUCCCGUCCGUGCUGGAACAGUUGAUUCAAAGGAUAGCCCGCCACGGUGAACCAUUGUUUCCAUGGUUCAAGUUGAAGCCAUUGAUUGUGAUGAAGCUAGAGAAUGUGAUAGAGGAAUACAUAGAGUAUAAUCCACAUGAGGAGGUCCCUAUACUACCAAACGUUGAAAAUGUACGUUUUGAUGACAUGAGAGAGCGUCUUCUGAAGGCUCUUGAGUCUUUCAAUAGUGCACCAUUCACAAUACAGAGGCUUUGUGAACUGUUAACAGAACCUAAGAGAUACUACAGACGGAGUGACAAAUUCAUGCGAGGCAUUGAAAAGAAUGUUCAAGUGGUCAGUACGAUAACACCAUCAGGGAAGCGCAUUACAUCCCUGUUUGACCUGCAGAAGAGCCCACCAAUGAUGAAUGGCAUAGUGCCUGACCCUGAGGCUUCACCUAAUAGUGACAACAAUGGAUUCAUACGACCAGUCCCUGAUGCAUUUACCAGCAGCCCCAGUAGCAGUAGUAGUAGUAGUAGGGUGGAUGCCAUGAAUGGUGUCAAUCGUCCCUACUUCAACAGCGACACCAUGGACGCACCUCUCCAGUUUGCAUACCCCCUUGGUCAAAGUAUGACCUCUAUGCCAAGCUCAGAUUCAGGUGUGAGGACUGACCUCAAUAGACUCAAUGGCACACAUAGUGAACCUCACGAGGCUGAAGCUAAAGAGACCUCUGAAGCAAUGCCUGGUGUCUCGCAAGACUCUGCAGAGUCUGAUAGCACAAGAAUCUGUGAAGAAAGAACGUUAGGGGAUGAUAACAUAGAUAAUGACACAGCCAGCGUAGUAUCCUCAAGUGAUGCAGAAAGCUUUGUGGGGGAGGGUCAUAAAGACGAAGGAGAUGAUGAAAUGGAGGUUGAUGUUGCUUCUUCAGGUGAUGCAGGAUGUGUACGAGAUGGAGAAACAGAAGGAGUUCCAACUCUUCAAUCUGAGCAGGGAAAAGAUGGAAAUGGAGAUGUCUCAACAAGUGAAUCUCGACAGGCUUCAGGAGAGUUACCCAAAGAUGUUGAGGAAGCUGGAAAAGCAGACAGCAGUGAAGGUACUUCAGCAAGCACACCCAUGGAGUAUGGGGAAGAACUCUCCAGUAACUCUGAGGCUGCAUCAAGUGAAAACCAGAGUAACCAAGAGUCAGAAGAUAGGUCAGAUGUAAGGGACACUAAUACCUCAUUAGCCAGUCCAGAACAGGGUCAACCUGAAGCAGACAUAGGUGCAGCAGGUGAUGCAGGACCAGGGGAUUCUCUGCCUGGUGAUGCAGGACCAGCUGACUCAAGCAAUGAUGCAAAAAGCACUCCUCUAGAAACUGCCUCGGAGAAUGCAAGUGGAUCAUCAGAAGCUGACUCCAAGGCAAGUUCACCUGAAACUCCUGCAUCUUUAGAAACUUUACCUACUUCUGAUCCAGUAGAAGCAGUGGAAUCUUCUGCAGAUGCUGCCUCUUUGACCCCAUCAAACGAACCUUCAACUGACGAUGUCACAGAUUCUACUCCUACAGACUCUACAUCUUCAUCAGACAAUCAGAGUAGAGGAUCUCCUGUUGCCAGUGGCGAUGGUGAUGCUGCUAGUAGUGGAGAUGUAGCAAAUAGUGAAGUGUGUGAAGAGCAACCCCAAAGUGCAGAAAGCGAGUCAACACAAAGUUGAUGAAAUCAUUUAAUUUUACCUCACUUUUAUUUGAGAUUAUGACGUAGAACAGAAUUCGUAUGACUUGACUGAGACCAAGGUUUACGCGUCGUUAAGGGGUUUUUUUGUCUGAUGAUAAGCAUAAAAAGCCCUUUACUGCAGAAAAAAUUCCAUGCUGUUGAGGAAAUUGUAAAUGCAAUAUCAGCAGUUAUUGAAUAACAAAUUUGUGAAUUUUAAAUUAUUUGGAGCCAUUAUAUGUAUUAUGUAGUUACAUCUCUACUGAAUUAUUUCUUUAGUUUGAAUUUUGUUUGUAACUAUAAUUCAAAUGUGUACAAUUACCUGUCAUUGAUGCAAAUUUAUGAAUUCCAAAAGUCCCUAAAUGUUUUGUUGACUUGCCAACAUGUAACCUUUUUAGUAAAUAUGUUUUUGUACUCAUGGAUAAAAGUGAUAACAGUCAUCAUAUUUUCCUUCAACGACAGUAUCAAGAAAACAAAAUAAAGGGGAAACCGUCCAUCUUUAUUGAUAUAUAGACUUCUUAUUACUCACGUAUUGUUAUUAGUUCUUUUUUGUCUCAUAUUUUGUUAAGUUGACAAUCUCAUGAACAUGUGUACAGUGUCUCUAAAUAUAAAUUGAAAAAGCUUUCUUUCAGAUUUUAUGAUAAAACAAAUUGUUUAACAUUUUUUUUUGACACUGAAGCAAAGUGAAUUUUUAAUUAGGGAGUUUUAAGUGUGCACAUCGACAAAGUGGACUCUUGCGUAAUAAUUAAUCUCGAGGCAAUGCUCUCUCCCUUAUCUACUGUCAGAUUCUGGAACAUGAAAGCUGUCAUUUUACACUGUCCCAAAUCUAGAACUACUUGCUUCCUCUGGUUGUCACAAGCUGCUUCCUUGUGGCAUAUGCUUCGGAUAUAAUUUAAAAUGUUAUCUGUCGACGACAGACUCACAUUGAUAGACAUGGCUGGGACUGGGAAGCUGAUCUUUUCCAUGUAAGCAUUAACUUCAUAUUAUUUAUUUGACCUCAAGAUCAUUUGAAUAUUCUGACUUGAGAGUUGUUUUUUCAUCAUUCACAGAAUACAGAUUUGAUCCAUGUAAUGAUUCUCAACAAGAUAUCAUAAAACUAGUGUGUUAAAAAAAUGUCAUCCGAAGUAGUUUCAUAAAUGCUCUAUUAAAAAUGAUAUUCAAGCUUGACUUACAUUGUGGAAUUUACAGUUAGACAAAAGUGCAUAGUCUUUAUCUUUAAAGUUGAUAUGACUAAACACAGGAAAUAUGAAUGUCUCUCCCAAAGGGAUCUUAAAAUUUGACAUGUAUGGUUCUAGAUAAAGUAAUCUAAGGUUGUGUAUUGAGAUAUUUUACAUACAUAGCUACAUAAUUCUAUGGGUGAAUUGAUGAAGAGGUAUGGAGAAUUUUCGUUGUGCCAUCAUAAUUAAUUGAAGUCCAGUUCCAUUCCUCUGGUGAUCAUCAAGCUUGUAAUUUCCUCAUCUUUUUGUUAUGUUAUUCCAUGUACAUGAAUGUAGUUUUUCUUUUAUGUAGUCUAUGAAUUUGUUUUCUGUUUUCUUUGUUGUGUGCAUGUAUCUUUUCUAUACAUGUUUAGCUGUGUGUAGUGUUCCAUUGUUUAUGCCAUAACUUUGUAUUUUGUUUAUCAUGUAAUGAAUUUAAAUUGAGCUCCCUUAACUAAACCACUUCACAUUAAGUAUCGAAUACAAAAAAGCUACUGGGUUCCAAAAGAAACUUAUCAAAUUUUUAAGGGCACUGCACAAAUUCCACUCAGUCAAAAUCAACAAUAUUUUGACACAUGCUAGUUUCAAUAAUCUUUACUAUUAAAUCACAUGUCAAUAAUUGAGAGGUUGAUUCAAUCACAGAGAGGCUACAGCUCCUCACAUCAAUUGGCUUCUGAAUCCAAAGUCACAAAAUUGCAAAAGAAAGACGAGUGAAAAUGAGAUGAGAUAAAACAAACUUCCAAGUUUAUAAAACAUGCCCUUCAUGGGCAUGUUUUAGUGAUUUGCUCAAUUUUAAAGAAGCUACAGGAAAUUAACAUCAAAAUUUUGAAUGUUUGGAACAAUCACACAGCCACACACAAACCUGCUGGUGAAGUCACGUUAAGCAGGGGAUAAUCAGAACACGGUGUGUGUCUGUAUUUCUUUCAGCCACACACAGAUAAACACCAUCUUCAGAUUAUCCCCCUCUUACCGGGACAUCAAUACUUUAUAUCAUUUCAUAUUGAAACGCAUGUCUGUCUAUUGCAAAUUUUCCAAAUAGAUGUAUGGCCAUGUCAUGAAAUGAGUUCCAGAAAAUACUUGCUUGCAUAGCAAAAGUUUUUUUUAGGAAGUCCUGAGACACUCAUAAUCCUGACACAAUUGUUAGAAUUGGUUUAAUUCAUUUUAAAGUGAAGAUUUUAUGAUGAAAUUUUCAGCAUUUGGCUCUGUGAAUUUUACUCUUUUUAUUUAGAUAUAAAUAUUUUCAUCCCGGAGUACUCCUUUGAAUUGCUGGUUGCAAUGCUGAUAUUUUCAUGCAUGACCAUUUUUAUACAAGUAUUUGUGUACAUCAAGAUAACUGCCAAUGUCAUAGCAAGUUUUGUACUUGUACAAAAUAACACAGAAUCUGAAAAUUGCUGUACAUCUGUCUUGGAAAAAUAAAACAUUUUUCUUCACCAUAAAGCAUUGAUAUUUGAGUACAGUGAACAUAUGAAGCAUACAUUGUAAACAAAAUGUCAAAAUCUUUGGCUUUGGCUUGCCAUCAUUUUAGCGCAGAGUAAAACCAUGGCCUAAGUUAAAUUGGACUUCAGAAUAUGGGCCUUUCUUGUUGUAAAGAGCUGAAAGGACUAAUAUUUUAUAUAUAAUACAUAUAUCGGCUAGCCUAUUAUUCUAUUAUUGCCUCUCCAUAUGAAUAUUACCUGUAUGUGAAUUGAGAAAAGCUAAUUACACAAACACCAAUCAUUAGCCUUCCAGCUAAUGUAGGAAGUGCCAUUUGAUAAAAUUCUAUGAAAUCUUUGCUUUCUCUGCUAUGGUACUGAUUACCUAAAUGUCCAGAAGUUUUCUUUUCACAUUCACAGAAAAAAGAAUAGUUAAUGAUAUUGAUAUGUCAUGCAAAAUGGCAAUUAGAUGUGAUCAGUGACUUCAUGACCUAUGAUUUCCCUUGCAGUUGCAUAUGCCUUACUGGCUUUAUUGAUUGUGAAGAAUUGCUGGUGAAUGACAAAAGAUGCCUUUAGAAUGUCAAACUUUAUGACAAAGCAGAUUGAAUAGUAUUAUAUAGAUUUGAAAGGUUGUGCGUAAUCUAAUAAUCCUUUCUGAACCAGUAAAGAGGAUAUUCAACGUUCUCUGUGCCAGACACUAAAGAAGAUGCAUGCAUACCCUGCUCCUUAUACUUCUGUGCUUAUUAUCUCUACCCUUUUUGAAUGAGCUACAAUUGAGGCCAAAAGUUUACAUACACCCACGGAAUUCAGUGAAGUUUUUUUCACUUACCAAACAUUGUAAAACUUACUAUAUCUUCAGAAAUAUAAAUACUACCAUGGCGAAUUUGGUAUCAAUUGAAAAAGUGCAUUAUUCUCUUUCACUUGAUUUGAAUGCCAUUAGGAUUAAAGUAUAUUUCAGGUGGAAUUUUCUUUGAAGAAAAAAAGUAAUAUUUGUGCCUAUUGUAUUCUAUUGUAAAACUUACUAUAUCUUCAGAAAUAUAAAUACUACCAUGGCGAAUUUGGUAUCAAAUGAAAAAGUGCAUUAUUCUCUUUCACUUGAUUGGGAUGCCAUUAGGAUUAAAGUAUAUUUCAGGUGGAAUUUUCUUUGAAGAAAAAAAGUAAUAUUUGUGCCUAUUGUAUUCUAUUGUAAAACUUACUAUAUCUUCAGAAAUAUAAAUACUACCAUGGCGAAUUUGGUAUCAAAUGAAAAAGUGCAUUAUUCUCUUUCACUUUAUUGGGAUGCCAUUAGGAUUAAAGUAUAUUUCAGGUGGAAUUUUCUUUGAAGAAAAAAAGUAAUAUUUGUGCCUAUUGUAUUCUAUUGUUUAUUAUAUU
rnacentral:misc_RNA from 1 species